rnacentral:misc_RNA from 1 species
UGAACAGCUUGAGGUAUGCUAUUGAUAGUUGAACUUUAAUUUCUGUCUUGCAGUUUGGAGUUAUCUUAACUUUUACGUAAGUUGAAUUGAGGCUAUAUUUAACACAACACAACACAGCACAGCACACAACAGUUUCUUCUUCUUCAUCAUAUGUUUAACAUUUUGGCAUGGAUUCCUUGCUUUUUGAAAACCGGAAUUCAUCAAUUUAGCCUGUGAUUCAAUUAUUCCAUUUGCUGUUUUUCUAGGGCUCUUCAAUGAAAACUUACAUUUGUUGUGGUUCUUAACAUGCUUCCCUUACCCAUGAUGACAGCUAAUUCUUCCAUAAGCUUUCAUGGUGCAUUUUCUACAUUUUUCUCAACUGAUAUCAUAUUCUGCCAAAAACUGGUUAACAUAUUGUAAUCAAGAUUUUAUGAAGUGAAGAUCACUAUUACAAAUUUAGCUUCUCAUUACCAGGUUUGAGAGGAGCUUAAUGGUAAACGGCGGUAUGGGCCCUUUUUUUUCCAGGAUAUCUAAAUAUAUGUGCAAAUGCAACAUAUGCAUGCAUGGUUUCCACAAUUUCAGUUUUUUGAUACGUAGUGAUAUUGAUGUUAUUUUUUCGCAACAGAUUCAGAGAAAUUUACAGUUGAGGAUCGAGGAACAGGGGAGGUAUCUUCAAAUGAUGUUUGAGAAACAAAAAAAGAUGGAGGAUGACAAGUCCAAAGCUUCUUCCUCCUCCUUGGAUGAUUCCUCCCUCCCAGAGUCAAACAUAUCUGGUAAUAAUAAAUUGGAAGUCUCAGAGCUGGAUCAUCCCAAUAAUGUGUUUGACAGAAACGAUGGUGGUGUAGCACUGGAAGAAAGUUCCCAAAGUGUAAGCAGAAAGCAUAAGGCACUGGAAAACAGAACUGGCGAGGAUCUUAACUCAAAAGACAAUGAAUCUAGUCCAGCAUCAGCAAAGCGACCAAGGGCAGAUGAAACAACAAUAUAAUCAACGUCCUGCAUUUGAUUGAACAUUUUAUACAAGUCAUGUAUUGCUGCUCCUGGAUAUGAUGUUUUAGGUUCUGUGCUUGUGAUGAGAGGCAUAAUAGUUGUGGAAGCAGGGAAAUUUUGGAACUUAAAUUCUUGCCUUUAUUUUCCAUAAAGCUAAGAAUCAAAAGAUCCAAAAUAAAUUUACUAACUUGUGACCUUUCCAUUCUAGGGUUGAAUUUGCAUUAGGAACUGUUGCUAGAAGGUGGAGUUUGUAUAUGAUUGUGCAUUGUUAGACUUUUAGAGAAUUUUGUAAUUUCCAAUUGAAUAAUGAAUUUCUUCAACUUUCACUAUCGUAUGUGUUGAGGAAUUUCAGAUAGAAUUGAG